UGUCUUGAUCCUAUAGGAUGCCUGGUGGUAACCAGCCUUCCAUGUGGCUGAACAGAUGCCAGUGUACCCGAAUUCUGAGACACAACUGGAUGUUCUUUUCUUCUGUUUUUAAGAUUCCAGAUUGGAGAUGAUGAGCAGUUCAUGUUAGAUUUGCUAUUUCUGCAGUUACAAUGAAGUAGAAGAGUCCGGUUGUGUUAUGGGGCAGCAGUUAAAGAAGAAGGAUGGAGAGAUGUGUGCCAUGUUGAAGCAGCGGCUUGCCCUCCUGCCUGGCACUUCUAGAAUCCUCCGUCUCAAUCUCUUUUCUGAUCUGCUGUGCCUUUGCCAAGUGAUCACGAGUUUAUUGCAAUGGUGCCCUCCUGCGUCUCCAGCGUUUGUUACAUCAACUCCAACUGCCUGUGACAGAAGAAAAGUUCACAAGACGUCCUGAAAUGGAAUUGUGAUUGGACUGA